GGUGGGCGGGGCGGAAUUACAGCCAGCCAAUCGGGAGCGCCGGAGUGUUCGCUUGGCGGCCGUUUUAGCGAAUCAGCGGCCAGAACAGCUGAGCGGCCGUUUUGACUGGACAGACAUUCCACGAUGUUCCUGCUGCUGCUCCAGACGGACCAUCAGACAGACAACAGAGAAAGUUCAUGUGGAGAACAAACAGCUCAGAGGAGGAUCUCUCAUCGGAGUCCUGUGGUGGAACCUGCACACAGAGCUGCUGAUGAAUCAUCGGGAAUAAAGACAAAGACGUGAGUUAUUGAGAAGACACAACACAAAUCUUGAGCUCCAGUUCCUCCAAAGUGUCAGAUUUUCUGUUUUAUUUCACAUUAAACUGAAUCUUUGAGUCGGACUGUCAGUGGAACAGAGAACAUUUCAACAGUUUAACUUUUUACAUUUCAGAGACUAAAAGAUGGAUUUAUUAUCUAACAUUGCUCUGUAUCAAACUGAAAACAGAUGAAAUGAUGAUUUGAGUUCUUGUUCUAUAAACGUGUUAUGAUCAGCUGUUAUUAUCAAAGAGUGAAUAAUCGUUGUGGAGUCUCUGUGGCUGAGAGAAACUUAAAGCUCGUCUUCUACUCUUUAUACAUUUAAACU